rfam:Salmo salar isolate Sally breed double haploid chromosome ssa13, whole genome shotgun sequence.
UCCCAUGUGGUUCAGUUGGUAGAGCAUGGUGUUUGCAACGCCAGGGUUGUGGGUUCGAUUCCCACGGGGGAC